rnacentral:ncRNA from 2 species
CAGACUCAUUAGGGGUGUUCCUUGACUGAGAGCCCUUCGGGCAACCCUUAAGACCUGACCAGGGUAAUUCCUGCGUAGGGAAAUGAGCCGGAGCUUAU